GUCCCUGUAGCGUAAUGGAUAGCACGUUGGACUUCUAAUUCAAGGGCUGUGGGUUCGAAUCCCACCUGGGAUG